UACGUAGGGUGCAAGCGUUAAUCGGAAUUACUGGGCGUAAAGCGUGCGCAGGCGGUUUUGUAAGUCUGUCGUGAAAGCCCCGGGCUCAACCUGGGAAUUGCGUUGGAGACUGCAAGGCUAGAAUCUGGCAGAGGGGGGUAGAAUUCCACGUGUAGCAGUGAAAUGCGUAUAGAUGUGGAGGAACACCGAUGGCGAAGGCAGCCCCCUGGGUCAAGAUUGACGCUCAUGCACGAAAGCGUGGGGAGCAAACAGG
rnacentral:rRNA from 1 species